rnacentral:rRNA from 1 species
GGCGAACGGGUGAGUAACACGUGAGUAACCUGCCCUGUGCUUUGGGAUAACCCUCGGAAACGGGGGCUAAUACCGGAUAUUCAUUGCGCAUCGCAUGGUGUGUGGUGGAAAGGAUUUUGGUUUGGCGCAGGUUGGGCUCGCGGCUAUCAGCUUGUUGGUGGGGUGAUGGCCUACCAAGGCGACGACGGGUAGCCGGCCUGAGAGGGCGACCGGCCACACUGGGACUGAGACACGGCCCAGACUCCUACGGGAGGCAGCAGUGGGGAAUAUUGCACAAUGGGCGCAAGCCUGAUGCAGCGACGCCGCGUGGGGGAUGACGGCCUUCGGGUUGUAAACCCCUUUCGCUUGGGACGAAGGCCCUUUUUGGGGUUGACGGUACCGGGAGAAGAAGCGCCGGCCAACUACGUGCCAGCAGCCG